AUGAUGGAUACGUCAAUGGAUUUCACAACUGAAGACCAAGUUUAUUGGUCAGGCAAUAGGGAAGAGGCUUCAAGAGACUCUUACCUUGAAACAAUAGAAGAGCUUGAGGAAUUUUUACAGAAACUCGAUGAGAUAUAUGGGACAAGAAGUCCAGCUGCACCUGAGCCAAAACCCUGUGUACCUCCGACUGCCCAUGAAGAGGACAGCCAAAAGGAAUCCAUGCAGAAUGAGGAUCCUACAACUGAAGAUCUAGUUCAGGAAGCCAAUGAGACACAUAAGGCAAGGACCCCAGCUGCCCCAGAGCCUCUGACUGCCCGUGAGGAAGAUGACCAAAAGGAGUCCAUGCAGAGACAGAAACCCACAACUGAAGAUCUAGUUCAGUUAUCAGGCACCAGCAAAGAGGCUUCCACAACUUCUUUCUUUGUGACACUUGAGGACAUUGAGGAGUUUCUUCACGAGAUCAAUGAAAUACACGAGGCAAAAACCCCACCUGCACCAGAGUCGGAGCUCUGCGUACCUCUGACUGCCCAUGAUGACGUCAGCCAAAUGGAGUCCGUGAACAGCCAGGUGACCUCCUUUGAUGAGAGAAACCCAACAGGAACAUCCCAGUUAAUGGAUGUCACUGACACCCCAACGACAUUUAUCACUGUUUGUCAAGUAACAGUUGUUAAUGCAAACAAGAGGACAAUCUUCAAUGAGGGUAGCGAGGUAGGGACCCUCAGUGAUGACCAGAGCCUCUGUGGAGGCCAGAUGACCAUCAGUGGGGAUCAGGCCCUCUAUGGGGCUCAGAUGAAGAGCCCCACUGUAUGCCAGAAUCUCAGUGGAACCCAGAUGACCUUCGCUGCAGACAAGACCAUCUGUGGGAAUCAGAUGGAGACCAUGGAUGAACACCAGACCCUCAGUGUAGGACAGAUGAACUUCAGUGGGGACCAGACUCUCUAUGGGGGUCAGAUGAAGACAGUCAAUGAUGACACUCUCCAU
rnacentral:lncRNA from 1 species